UACGGGGAGGGCGAGCGUUAUUCAUCAUUAUUGGCGUAAAGGUACGCAGACUGUUCUUGGCUGUAUAUUCUGAAGACCUGGGCCAACUCAGGGUGAGAAUCUAAACGCUAGAACUAGAGUCGACGAGAGGAUAGUAGAACUUUAAAGUAGAAGUGAAAGUGAUGAUAUUAAAAGACUCCAAUGGCGAAGCACUAUCCAUUUCGAACUGACGUUGAUGUACGAAGGCAUGGUAU
rnacentral:rRNA from 1 species